AUGGCUUUAACCGGUUAUAGCUCUUUUCUAUUCCACUUUUUCAUACACAAAUCCCCAAACUUCUUUUGUCAAACUCAAUCUCACGUAUGAACUCCACCAAAGAGUCAAGAACUCCAUUUUCAUCUUGAUUCUUGAUCAGUUGACAAUGGAUGAAGAUGAGGUUCCCAAAAAAUGAGCAGGAAGGAUUUUGCAUGGAAAUAUGCAAUUGAGAACCCAGAUGAGAAGUACUUCAAAUGCAAGUUCUGUGAUCAAUAAUGAAGUGGCACAAUCAAUCGAUUGAAGCAACAUUUAGCAGGCACUCAUUUAGGGAUGAGACCUUGUCUUAAGGUACCAGAUGAAAUAAGUGAAGAAUGCAAGAAAUCAUUACAAAAGCUUAAAACUGCAAAAGCCAUGCGAACUGCUACUUUGGAAGAAAUGUGAGUGGCUGCAUCUGGAAAUGUUAAUAUGUCUAGUGAAGUUAGUUCUUAUCCAACUAUGGCCAAUUUAAAUCCAAAGACUAGAGAUCCAUUGGAUGAUUUUGUUAGUGCUCAAGCAAGGCAAGCUACUUUGAACUUGAAAUGCAAAAAAAGAGGAAAGGAAAGAAGUUUGUCAACGAAUUGGUAGAUUCUUCUUCUCAAGUGGUAUACCAUUUAACAUCGCAAAUGAUCCAUAUUAUUUUCCUAUGUUCGAAGGCGUUGCAAAUUAUGGUCCGGGUUUUGUGCCUCCCUCAAUGCAUGAGUUGAGAACAUGGAUACUAAAAGAAGAGGUUACAAGUAUUCACAAGAUGUUAGAUGAGCAUAAGAAAUCUUGGAAGCAAUAUGGUUGUUCAAUUAUGUUGGAUGGAAAAAGUAGAUGCUUUAUCAACUUUCUGAUUAAUAGUCCUGCAGAUGAGAGACAUCAAAUAGCAACAAUUUCUUUGGCUCCAACCAAAUCUAGUUGUGAAGUCUUGUUCAUGAGCGUUCAAGAAGACACUUGAGAAAUGAUAUGGCUUUUGUCUAUUUUUACUUUUGUGGAAGAUGACUCUCAUUUGAGCUAUUAUGAUGAUACGUCAGUAUCUCUAACUAAUUUCUUUUGUAUGCACCAAAUUGUCUUUUAAUAUUUAGUUGUGGAUGAA